UCUAUAAGUGUCCUCUCUGCACUUAUGAAACUCGUCGGAAACGUGAUGUGAUAAGACAUAUAACUGUGGUUCAUAAAAAGUCAUCUCGUUACCUUGGGAAAAUAACAGCCAGUUUAGAGAUCAGAGCUAUAAAAAAGCCAAUUGAUUUUGUUCUAAACAAAGUGGCGAAAAGAGGCCCUUCAAGGGAUGAAGCAAAACAUAAUGAUUCAAAACACGAUGGCACUUCCAAUUCUCCUAGUAAAAAGUAUGAAGUAGCUGACGUCGGUAUUGAAGUGAAAGUCACAAAAAACUUUUCUCUUCACAGAUGCAAUAAAUGUGGAAAGGCAUUUGCCAAAAAGACUUACCUUGAACAUCAUAAGAAAACUCAUAAGGCAAAUGCUACCACUUCACCUGAAGGAAACAAAACCAAAGGCCGAAGUACAAGAUCUAAGGCUCUUGUCUGGUGAGGAACAUUACAGAGUUUUGUUCCCCUCCCCCUCAUGGAACUAAACAAAGUCAUUUGGCCAUAAUUUAUAGCUGGUUCCAUUUUAACAUAUUUUUCUUCCAUAAAUGAUAUAACAGUAGGAUCUGCAAGAGGGAUGGUUAUUGCCUUUAUCUCUAUGACCUUUAUUCCAGUAGCUUGGGAACAAAAGUUGAUUUUAGAACUUGCCUUCCACAGGACAAUGCAAUGUAGCUAUAGGGAGAUGACACAGGGUCAGAGCUUUUGUCUUUGUUUUAAUGUUGGAAAAUAUAUACAGUUAUUUUGGUCUAUGUUUACAUAGAAAUCUCAUGUUU
rnacentral:lncRNA from 1 species